GCCUCUAUAGCACAGUGGUAGUGCGUUCCCUUCGUAAGGGAAAGGUCGAGAGUUCGAUCCUCUCUGGAGGCA
rnacentral:tRNA from 1 species